GACGAACGCUGGCGGCGUGCUUAACACAUGCAAGUCGAACGGAAAGGCCCUGCUUGCAGGGUACUCGAGUGGCGAACGGGUGAGUAACACGUGGGUGAUCUGCCCUGCACUUCGGGAUAAGCCUGGGAAACUGGGUCUAAUACCGGAUAGGAGCCAUUUUUAGUGUGAUGGUUGGAAAGUUUUUUCGGUGUAGGAUGAGCUCGCGGCCUAUCAGCUUGUUGGUGGGGUAAUGGCCUACCAAGGCGGCGACGGGUAGCCGGCCUGAGAGGGUGGACGGCCACAUUGGGACUGAGAUACGGCCCAGACUCCUACGGGAGGCAGCAGUGGGGAAUAUUGCACAAUGGGCGCAAGCCUGAUGCAGCGACGCCGCGUGGGGGAUGACGGCCGUCGGGUUGUAAACUCCUUUCGCUAGGGACGAAGCUUUUUGUGACGGUACCUAGAUAAGAAGCACCGGCUAACUACGUG
rnacentral:rRNA from 1 species